rnacentral:tRNA from 1 species
GGUGGGUUGGCCGAGUGGUUGAAGGCGCUCGCCUGCUAAGUGAGCGUGGGGCAGAAAUCUCCACCGAGAGUUUGAAUCUCUCACCCGACCGCCA